rnacentral:hammerhead_ribozyme from 1 species
GCACUGCUGAAGAGUCUCAAUAAAACGAAACGACCUUCCAGUAC